CAAAAUAUAGCUUAUUUAAAGCAUUUCGCUUACACCGAAAAAAUGUCUGUUAGCCCGGACUAUUUUGA
rnacentral:tRNA from 1 species